UACAGAGGUGCCAAGCGUUAGGCGGAAUCACUGGGCUUAAAGCGUGUGUAGGUGGAUGCCUAAGUACCUUGUGAAAUCCCACGGCUUAACCGUGGAACUGCUUGGUAUACUGGGUGUCUUGAGCCAACUAGGGGCAGUCGGAACAAACGGUGGAGCGGUGAAAUGCGUAGAUAUCGUUUGGAACGCCAAUGGUGAAAACAGACUGCUGGGGUUGUGCUGACACUGAGACACGAAAGCCAGGGGAGCGAACGGG
rnacentral:rRNA from 1 species